AUUGAACGCUGGCGGCAUGCCUUACACAUGCAAGUCGAACGGUAACAGGGAGCUUGCUCCGCUGACGAGUGGCGAACGGGUGAGUAAUGCAUCGGAACGUACCCAGUAGUGGGGGAUAACGCAGCGAAAGCUGUGCUAAUACCGCACACGCACUGAGGUGGAAAGGAUGGGACCUUCGGGCCUUGUGAUAUUGGAGCGGCCGAUGUCAGAUUAGCUAGUUGGUGGGGUAAAAGCUCACCAAGGCGACGAGCUGUAGCUGGUCUGAGAGGAUGAUCAGCCACACUGGGACUGAGACACGGCCCAGACUCCUACGGGAGGCAGCAGUGGGGAAUUUUGGACAAUGGGGGCAACCCUGAUCCAGCCAUGCCGCGUGAGUGAAGAAGGCCUUCGGGUUGUAAAGCACUUUCGGCCGGGAAGAAAUCGCCAUCUCUAACAUAGGUGGUGGAUGACGGUACCGGAAUAAGAAGCACCGGCUAACUACGUGCCAGCAGCCGCGGUAA
rnacentral:rRNA from 1 species